rnacentral:rRNA from 1 species
CUUGCUUUGAUGGAUGGCGACCGGCGCACGGGUGAGUAACACGUAUCCAACCUGCCGACAACACUGGGAUAGCCUUUCGAAAGAAAGAUUAAUACCGGAUGGCAUAGUCUUCCCGCAUGGGAUGACUAUUAAAGAAUUUCGGUUGUCGAUGGGGAUGCGUUCCAUUAGGCAGUUGGCGGGGUAACGGCCCACCAAACCAACGAUGGAUAGGGGUUCUGAGAGGAAGGUCCCCCACAUUGGAACUGAGACACGGUCCAAACUCCUACGGGAGGCAGCAGUGAGGAAUAUUGGUCAAUGGACGAGAGUCUGAACCAGCCAAGUAGCGUGAAGGAUGACUGCCCCAUGGGUUGUAAACUUCUUUUAUACGGGAAUAAAGUGAGCCACGUGUGGCUUUUUGUAUGUACCGUAUGAAUAAGGAUCGGCUAACUCCGUGCCAGCAGCCGCGGUAAUACGGAGGAUCCGAGCGUUAUCCGGAUUUAUUGGGUUUAAAGGGAGCGUAGGCGGGUUGUUAAGUCAGUUGUGAAAGUUUGCGGCUCAACCGUAAAAUUGCAGUUGAUACUGGCGACCUUGAGUGCAACAGAGGUAGGCGGAAUUCGUGGUGUAGCGGUGAAAUGCUUAGAUAUCACGAAGAACUCCGAUUGCGAAGGCAGCUU